rnacentral:lncRNA from 1 species
GAAAUUAUAUGAACAGUUUGUGUUUACAGCCUCAAUGUUAUCACAUGAAUAAUACAGCUAAGCAUAUCCAAUAAAUCAAAUGUCUUGAAAGGUCACGUGCAAACAUGGAAUGACACGACCCCAAGAUCCAAUCAGUUCAAGCAAUAUGGAAUCCUGGCCAAGAAGUACACCAAGUUUUCCUGGUUUGACCUCUUGCCUCUUCUGGAUAUUCAUGGAGGAGAGUGCUCUGGCUGUGAUACUGCUUGAUUCCAUUAGAUAUUAUUCAGCUAACUUGACUGUAUGUGACAUGGAAGCAGUUUAUUGA